GUGAUAAUUGAAUUUAACGGCCGCGGUAGCAUGACCGUGCUAAGGUAGCAUAAUCAUUUGUCCUUUAAUUGAGGACUGGUAUAAACGGCUGCACAAGAAAUUGUCUGUCUCUACUAUAAAAUUUGAAAUUCACAUUUAAGUGAAAAGGCUUAAAUGGAAUAGGGGGACGAUAAGACCCUAUAAAUCUUUACAAUUAGGGCUUUAGUUAUUAGAAAGUAGUUAUGGAUCUAGAUCUAAGGUCUAAAUUGUUUUGUUGGGGCGACAGAAGUAUAAUAAGUAACUGCUUUGGUUUUCAUAUUAAUUGUUUUUAUUAUGGUUAGUUUAAAAGAUCCUCUUUUGGAGAUCACAGACUAAGUUACUUUAGGGAUAACAGCGUAAUCUUUCUUGAGAGUUCAUAUCGAAAGAAGGGUUUGCGACCUCGAUGUUGAAUUAAAGAACCUUUAUGGUGUAGCCGC
rnacentral:rRNA from 1 species